rnacentral:miRNA from 2 species
CCCUUAUCACUUUUCCAGCCCAGC